AGUGAACGCUGGCGGUAGGCCUAACACAUGCAAGUCGAACGGCAGCACAGUAAGAGCUUGCUCUUACGGGUGGCGAGUGGCGGACGGGUGAGGAAUACAUCGGAAUCUACUUUUUCGUGGGGGAUAACGUAGGGAAACUUACGCUAAUACCGCAUACGACCUACGGGUGAAAGCAGUGGAUCUUCGGACCUUGCGCGAUUGAAUGCGCCGAUGUCGGAUUAGCUAGUUGGCGGGGUAAAGGCCCACCAAGGCGACGAUCCGUAGCUGGUCUGAGAGGAUGAUCAGCCACACUGGAGCUGAGACACGGUCCAGACUCCUACGGGAGGCAGCAGUGGGGAAUAUUGGACAAUGGGCGCAAGCCUGAUCCAGCCAUACCGCGUGUGUGAAGAAGGCCUUCGGGUUGUAAAGCCCUUUUGUUGGGAAAGAAAAGCAGCAGGUUAAUACCCCGCUGUUCUGACGGUACCCAAAGAAUAAGCACCGGCUAACUUCGUG
rnacentral:rRNA from 1 species